rnacentral:pre_miRNA from 13 species
UAAUCUAUUUGGGGCAUAUUCUCAUUUAGUUAUGAUAGAUCCACACUUGAUUGCUUAAAAUCACCUGUUAUUACAUGUUCGACUAUAUUAUUAACAUUGAAAAGUUGAGGACAACUACUGUAUGAAUAAUAAUUUUUUGAGA